AGUCAAAUCGUGUCCAAGUCCCUUUAAGUGGAUAUUCAUGACAAAUUUAAACUUCCUGUGAAUUAUACACAAAUAAAGAACGUUGAGAAUAAAGCUGUUCGACUCUACUUCAACAUUCAUAAAAUGAUAUUCACGUGCUUCACGUGCUUUAUUUGAAAAACGUCAGGUUAACGACUCAUUUAAAAAACUUGAUCCUUGAUAUUUUACUAGCUUAUAUGUUUUGUUGUGGUGUUUUAUAGUUAUGCAAGAAGUUGAAUUUUAAACUAUGGAACUCUGAAGGUGUUCAGUUUACCAAUGAUUGGCUGGUAAAAUUGCAUAGAAUUCGGAACAUGUGACCUCGCGAAAAAUUAUAAUUGCAUGGUCGGACAUAAAAAGCAGGCAACCUAGAAAAUCAUACAUCAUUUAAUGAUCGGGCCUACAUGUAUUAAAGUCUCAGCAAAAAGGAGAGAAUAAAAAUCCAGGUGUUCAGUUUACCAAUGAUUGGCUGGUAAAAUUGCAUAGAAUUCGGAACAUGUGACCUCGCGAAAAAUUAUAAUUGCAUGGUCGGACAUAAAAAGCAGGCAACCUAGAAAAUCAUACAUCAUUUAAUGAUCGGGCCUACAUGUAUUAAAGUCUCAGCAAAAAGGAGAGAAUAAAAAUCCAGCCCCUUUUGUAAAGAUUAAGAAUGCCUAAACGAAAACCAAGUCAGCCACAGGCCGACGUGCACGUGGAAGUCGAGCCGCGCACCAACCAAGGAAAACGGAAGAGGGAUCGGGCCCCCGGGGAAGUACCACAGACCUUGGAUCUUGUUCUGCUGGAGCAUGCAGAAGGUACUAAUGUGUUGGAUAGUGUUAGCAUAGAAACGUUGGGUAUUACACCAACACCGAUAAACCUCAUUAAAUUUCUUUGGGCCACAAUGUAAGCGAAUCAUUACGAAUGAUAAUUAUUGAAGGGUGUACUAACUACCAUCAAUGAAGAGGCCAAUGCCCAACUUCAUUCAAUCAUGGAAAAGCUAGUAUGAUGAUAUAAUCUGAUGUAACAACAUUUGAUGUGACUUGAUGUGAUUGCUGAAAAUACAAAGAAAAAAAUACUUAAGUUUUGAUGCUAUAAAUAAACAAACAAAACACACUCAGCAUAUGACAAAUAUCACUCGAGGAAAUAUAUGCCCUGUGUUCUUGUAAACAAUAUUUUCACUUAGGCUCUAGUACAUAAGCAAAUAUUACAA